rnacentral:misc_RNA from 1 species
UGUAUAUAUUCUAAGAAAUUUCCUUGCAAAUAACAGGAACCAAGUUUAAGAGACGACAAAGAUGAUGACAAAUUUGCUAAGGAACUAGGUGCAACCAUGGACAUGUUUACUUCAUUUAAACUGAGUUAUCUUAGCUUGGUCAAGUUUUGAGCAAGUUUGUUGAAAGUAGUGGCUUCUAGUGUUAAAUCAUUUCAAGAGAUAUCAAGUGAAACCAAGCUAGACAAAUAAGUGAUUCCUAACGGAACAAGGCCCGUAAAAACACAGAAAUUUAGGUUAAGAUAUCUCAAAUUCAAAAGUUCACUAAACUGAGAUGAAAUAUUGGAGUGAUUGAAAUCAUUGUUAGAGAGGUCCAAAUUUUGAAGAUGAGAAAGGAGGAAAAGAGAGUUAUUAGAAUGGAAGGUACCAAAAAGCAUACUACUAG